rnacentral:rRNA from 1 species
UACGGAGGAUGCAAGCGUUAUCCGGAUUUAUUGGGUUUAAAGGGUGCGUAGGCGGGAAAUUAAGUCAGUGGUGAAAUCCUACAGCUUAACUGUAGAACUGCCAUUGAAACUGAUUUUCUUGAGUGCAGCUGAGGUGGGCGGAAUGUGUAAUGUAGCGGUGAAAUGCUUAGAUAUUACACAGAACACCAAUUGCGUAGGCAGCUCACUAAACUGUAACUGACGCUAAGGCACGAAAGCGUGGGGAGCGAACAGGAUUAGAUACCCGCGUA